rnacentral:rRNA from 1 species
AACGAACGCUGGCGGCAGGCCUAAAACAUGCAAGUCGAACGAUGUAGCAAUACAUAGUGGCGCACGGGUGAGUAACACGUGGGAACAUACCCUUUGGUGCGGAACAACGUCGGGAAACUGACGCUAAUACCGCAUAAUAUCUACGGAUCAAAGAUUUAUCGCCAAGGGAUUUGGCCCGCGCUAGAUUAGGUAGUUGGUGA